CCCCCUUUGGGGUUGUACAAAGGCUUCAGAAUCUGGUGUGUAUUUCAGGCUUACAGUUAUCUCAUUUUAGACCAGUCACAUCUCAAGUCACACAGGGAUCAGAGCCUCUAUAUUAGACAGUGUGUUCUGGAUCUUUUGCCCUCAUCCUUGGUCUGUUUUGCCCUAGCAUCACCUAUGGUCUGUUUUGCCCUAGCCUUCCACUGAAUUGUGUAUUAAUGUAUUAAUUAAUUAACGUAUUAAUGCCCUUGACUUUCAGGGAAGAACACAGCCAUAUGGAGUGUCAAAGCCUCUGCUGUGGGAGAGUUACUGACUAUAGAUCAUUCACUACCCCUUACAGCCUCACGCUAUAUCAAGGAGGGUUUUAUUGUUCGUCCAAAAUGAGGUUUCCUCUAUUCCCUCUAUUUCAUGAAGCCAAGCCAGAGAGGUCCUCCCAGCUGGUGUUGCUGCAUUGUUGGCUCUAUCAAAGGUAUUUGCAAAUCACUGUAGAAGAUAAGGUGAUCUUUGGGGUCAUCCAGUAUAACCCCCUUAUUUUACAGAUAAGGAAACCUUAGCCACAUCACCCACAGGGAUCAAUAACAUUUGUAACGGUGCCAUUUAACAGAUUUGCAAAGAGUGGGUGCAUUAAUGGACUCUGCAAGAGGAAAGGAAGGCCAUCUCACAGACAUGGGAAUUCAUAGGACGCAUCUUCUUAUCCAGACUCCAAACCUGAUCAUUUGAGCUCACAUGCUUUUUAAAUCCUCAGUGGUGUCACCCUGCCAACUGAAGCCCAAGCUCUCACCACUUAAAGAAAGUUUGUUUCUGUCUAAAAUGCCUUAUAUUGUUGGUUUAUCCCAUCUUUGAUGGUUUGGGCCACCAGGUGGAAUUGGAGUGCUUGUAUAUUUAUGUGUAUGUACCGGGCAUCCACCAAAGUGAUGCAGAAAAAUAAGAUAAGCUCAUGUUCCUUGCUUUUAGGUAUGCAAUGGAACCCCUCUUCUGCCUCCUUUUUAUACUCCACCACCAAGUCUUUUUCUCUUUUAGUCUCCUCCAUCUUACUAAAAUUUGCCAUACCACAAUGAGGGACACUGGCCCAAACCAGGGGGUCAUCCUUGAUUCCAAACUCUCCCUUGCCACCAACCAAAACUGUCAUCCAGUCAUCUGUGUUUCCAACUCUACCUCCAGCUCACCCUCUCCACUCCUCUCCACCUGCACUGCCAUCAGGCUGGAUUGAUGCCAUCACCUCCACGUGAGCUCCUGGACUGUCCUGGCUCUACUUUCCCUCCUCUACAAUCCAUUCUUCACAAAGUAGCCAGCAAGGACUCUUAGAGACCAAAUCAGAUUAUGUUACCUCCUGCUGAAGGCCCUUCAGCAGUUUGGGUCACAUGAAAACUUUCCAAGACGGACUGUAGCGUUUAGCCCCUUCCCACCUCAGCAGCCUCAUCUCACUCUGCUCCUGUCUUCACUAACAAAACCCCAGCCACAUGGGGCCCCUCACAUCCCCUUGGUUGCAUUACCUUGAAUUAACCUCACUGCAUUUCUGUAUAAACAGUGUGAUGUACCUGUUAGCUGAGUGCG
rnacentral:lncRNA from 1 species